rnacentral:rRNA from 1 species
CAGCCGCCGCGGUAAUACGUAGGGUGCGAGCGUUAAUCGGAUUUACUGGGCGUAAAGCGUGCGCAGGCGGCCCGUUAAGACAGGUGUGAAAUCCCUGGGCUCAACCUAGGAAUUGCGCUUGUGACUGGCGGGCUCGAGUACGGUAGAGGGGGGUGGAAUUCCUGGUGUAGCAGUGAAAUGCGUAGAGAUCAGGAGGAACACCGAUGGCGAAGGCAGCCCCCUGGGCCUGUACUGACGCUCAUGCACGAAAGCGUGGGGAGCAAACAGGAUUAGAUACCCUGGUAGUCCACGCCCUAAACUAUGGGUACUAGCCGUUUGGUGCGCGAUAGCGCUGAGUGGCGAAGCUAACGCGUGAAGUACCCCGCCUGGGGAGUACGGCCGCAAGGUUGAAACUUAAAGGAAUUGGCGGG